UACGAAGGGUGCAAGCGUUAAUCGGAAUUACUGGGCGUAAAGCGUGCGUAGGCGGUUUGAUAAGUCUGUUGUGAAAUCCCCGGGCUCAACCUGGGAAUGGCAAUGGAUACUGGCAAGCUAGAGUGUGUCAGAGGAUGGUGGAAUUCCCGGUGUAGCGGUGAAAUGCGUAGAGAUCGGGAGGAACAUCAGUGGCGAAGGCGGCCAUCUGGGACAACACUGACGCUGAGGCACGAAAGCGUGGGGAGCAAACAGG
rnacentral:rRNA from 1 species